rnacentral:rRNA from 1 species
UAGGGAAUCUUCGGCAAUGGACGAAAGUCUGACCGAGCAACGCCGCGUGAGGGAAGAAGGUUUUCGGAUCGUAAAACUCUGUUGUUAGAGAAGAACAAGGACGUUAGUAACUGAACGUCCCCUGACGGUAUCUAACCAGAAAGCCACGGCUAACUACGUGCCAGCAGCCGCGGUAAUACGUAGGUGGCAAGCGUUGUCCGGAUUUAUUGGGCGUAAAGCGAGCGCAGGCGGUUUCUUAAGUCUGAUGUAAAAGCCCCCGGCUCAACCGGGGAGGGUCAUUGGAAACUGGGAGACUGGAGUGCAGAAGAGGAGAGUGGAAUUCCAUGUGUAGCGGUGAAAUGCGUGGAUAUAUGGAGGAACACCGGUGGCGAAGGCGGCUCUCUGGUCUGUAACUGACGCUGAGGCUCGAAAGCGGGGGGAGCAAACAGG